UGGAAAGGCUAGGGGUGUCGAGAGACAUUACCAAACCUUACUAAACUUCGAAUGCUUCAAGGAAUAUUGCAGAGUGGGACUACGGGAGCAAGUUUCGUAGUCAAAAGGAUAACAGUCCAGACUUCUGAUUAAGGUCCCUAAAGUAAUGCUAAGUGGAAAAAGAGGUGUCUUUACUUAUACAUCCAGGAGGUUUGCCUAGAAGCAGCAAUCCUUUAAAGAAAGCGUAACAGCUCACUGGACUAGCGAAGAUGCGCUGAAGAUGUAACGGGGCUAAGCAUUAUACCGAAAUCGAAGACCAGUGUAGUAAUACACUGUGUGGUAGGAGAGUGUUCUUACAGGAUGAAGCUACAUCGCGAGAUGUGGUCGACUAGUAAGAAGUAAAAAUGCUGACAUGAGUAACGCUUAUUGAUGAAAAUUCAAUAUAUCGAAACCCUAAGGAUUCCUACGCAACGUUCAUCGUCGUAGGGUUAGUCGGGACCUAAGGCUUAUCCAGAAGUGGAGAGUCGAUGGAUAACUGGUUAAUAUUCCAGUACUUAUAUAAAGAGUGAUGGAGUAACGCAUUGAGAUUUGUGAGAGCUCAUUAAGGAUUUGAGUCGAAAGAGUGAGGUUUUUAUAACCCUAGGUUAUAAAGGUAGUUGCAGGAAAAUCCACAGCUAUUGAUACUGAGCUUGAUCGGAAUUUGAUUCCUCGGAAUUAGAAAUUCUCAUCGUUUUGGUGCCGAGAAAAACUUCUAAACUUAAUCUUUAUGUAACCCGUACUCAGAUCAGACACUUGUGGGGUGGUAGAGAAUACUAAGAUAAUCGAGAUAAUUAAUGGGUAAGGAACUUGGCAAAUUAGCGGACGUACUUUCGAAAUAAGUCCUGUCCCGAGCAAUCGGGAUCGCAGCGAAAGAGAUGGGGGGAACUGUUUAUCACAAACACAGCUCGUUGCUAACUCGUAAGAGGAUGUAUAACGGGUGAUGCCUGUCCAAUGCCAGAAUGUUAUGCUCUCUUGUGCAAGCUCGAGGGUUAAGCACUGGUGAAUGACGGCCGUAACUAUGACGGUCCUAAGGUAGCGAAAUUCCUUGUCAGGUAAGUUCUGACGCGCAUGAAUGGCAUAAUCAUCCCCAUGCUGUCUUACCCUUAAACUCGGUGAAAUUACAUUCCCGGUAAAAAUGCCGGGUAGUCACAGUUAGACGGAAAGACCCUGUGAAGCUUUACUGUAGAUUGAUAUUGGAUUGUAGCAUGUCUUGCUCAGUAUAGGUGGGAGGCUUUGAUGUUUCAACUUCGGUUGGGGCGGAGCCAAUAGUGAGAUACCACCCAAGAUAUGUAGCAAUUCUAAUCCCUAGGUUGGGAGACAGUUUCAGUUGGACAGUUUACCUGGGGCGGGUGCCUCCUAAAAAGUAGCGGAGGCGUGCAAAGGUUUGCUUACUACGGAUGGAAACCGUGGUGAAUGUGUAUUCGCAUAAGCAAGCUUGACUGUGAGACUGACAGGUCGAGCAGAUACGAAAGUAGGCGAAAGUGAUCCGGAUCUUCCAAGUGGAAGGGGAUCCGCUCAACGGAUAAAAGGUACUCCGGGGAUAACAGGCUAAUGGAAUCUAAGCGUUCACAGCGACGAUUCCGUUUGGCACCUCGAUGUCGACUCGUCGCAUCCUGGGGCUGUAGAAGGUCCCAAGGGUUGGGUUGUUCACCCAUUAA
rnacentral:rRNA from 1 species